rnacentral:misc_RNA from 1 species
AAGUCGUAACAAGGUUUCCGUAGGUGAACCUGCGGAAGGAUCAUUAACACGUAUCCAACGUUAAACAACCCUGUGAACCUUCAUGCCUCUCGUAGCCCAGGAGGAACAGCAAUCCCGGUAAAUCAAUGGCGGAAAGUUUUGAUUCGGGACCUCUGUCCAAAAGGUUACGAUCGAGUGAGCAAAGAGGAUAACGCAUCUCGGUUGCCAAGAGGUCGAUCACCGGCCGGCAGACAUGUCACCGGGCUUUAUGCCCCCCCAUUCACACCUUGCCCUAUCAACUCCUGGAGAAAUGCCAGGAGAUAAACCGAACAACUGUUAACAAUGGAUAUCUUGGUUCUC